GACAGAGGGUGCAAACGUUGUUCGGAAUUACUGGGCGUAAAGCGCGUGUAGGCGGCCAUCUAAGUCGGGCGUGAAAUCCCACGGCUCAACCGUGGAAGUGCACUCGAAACUGGAUGGCUAGAGUCCUGGAGAGGAAGGUGGAAUGCUUGGUGUAGAGGUGAAAUUCGUAGAUAUCAAGCGGAACACCGGUGGCGAAGGCGGCCUUACUGGACAGUGACUGACGCUGA
rnacentral:rRNA from 1 species